rnacentral:rRNA from 1 species
UACGAAGGGGGCUAGCGUUGUUCGGAAUUACUGGGCGUAAAAGCGCACGUAGGCGGAUCGAUCAGUCAGGGGUGAAAUCCCAGGGCUCAACCCUGGAACUGCCUUUGAUACUGUCGAUCUGGAGUAUGGAAGAGGUGAGUGGAAUUCCGAGUGUAGAGGUGAAAAUUCGUAGAUAUUCGGAGGAACACCAGUGGCGAAGGCGGCUCACUGGUCCAUUACUGACGCUGAGGUGCGAAAGCGUGGGGAGCAAACAGG